CGCUUCUAUUUUUGUGCUAUGCAGGAGGUAAUGAAGUGGGUUGAUUAUAUAGGCAUAUAGCCAGAGGCAGUUCCUUAAAUGGGGCCUCCAUAGGCAAGGUAACAUGGGAAGCAAAACCAUGUGAUAAAGAAGAAAUGAGGAGAUGUUAGAGGGGUAGGCAUGUUUGUUUUUGUUUGGCAAUCUGCACACAAAGGUGGAGCACAGAAAGGGAGUCACGCAUGAUAUGUAUCUAUUUUUCUGCAGACUGAUUUAGCAACAAAUAGGUCCGAAAUAAGCUGAUAUCCCAUGUUUACUACUCACAACAAACUUAUGAACCACAGAAGCUCAUGACAAAUUGCUUGGUGAAUAACAAUAUAUACUUAAUAA
rnacentral:misc_RNA from 1 species